CCCUUAGAUGUUCUGGGCUGCACGCGCGCUACACUGACAUGUCCAGCGAGCUCCCAACCUGCUCGGCAAAGAAUGGGUACCCUUUUUAACGCAUGUCGUGAUGGGGAUAGAUUAUUGCAAUUGUUGAUCUUGAACGAGGAAUUCCUAGUAAGUGCAAGUCAUUAGCUUGUGCUGAAUACGUCCCUGCCCUUUGUACACACCGCCCGUCGCUCCUACCGAUUGAAUGUUCCGGUGAGCUCUUCGGACUGCGCGGUCUGCAGUUUCUGCGUUCCGUGCGGAAAGUUGCGCAAACCUUAACAUUUAGAGGAAGGAGAAGUCGUAACA
rnacentral:rRNA from 1 species